UUAAUAUAACAACGAAGGUACUGCGCCCAUGGUCGAGAAUUUAAUUUUCGGCGGCGUGCACUGUGGGCCUCGCAGUGCACAGUGACGUUGCUUGACGAUCUAUGUUUUAAGCUAUACUUGUUGCUUUGUAACUUGUUGUGCCCAAGACAUGGAGACUCGGGUGACGAUGAGGCAUUGCUGUGGAGGAUGAACCUGUUGCUAUGGAGAACGAAGAAGGUGCUGCAUUGGUUGAUGAAAAUCUUCCAACGACGUGGUAUUGUGGGUCUCGCAAUGCCAUAUGUCAUGUUGCUUGACGAUCUAUGUUCGAAGCUUUACAUGUUGCUUUUGCGACUUGUUCUGCCUAAAACAUGGUGAAUCGGGUGACGAAGAGACCUUGAUGCGGAGGAGGACGUUGCUGCGGAGGCGGAUGAAGGUGAUGCUGCGUUGGUUGAUGAAAGUCAUCCAACGACGUGGUAUUGUGGGCCUCGCAAUGCCAUAUGUCAUGUUGCUCUGAAUGUCUCGCUUUGAAGCUGUACUUGUUUGUUGUGCUUCAUUUCGGUGAUCUCGUGCAACGAUGAGGCAUGGUUGCUUACCUUUGUUAUUCUUCUCGCAUCGUUCGGUGCAUUUUGGGGGCAUUUCGGCAUUUUGUUGUUUCCCUUGGCUUUUAGCUAGGGUGGUGGCAAAGUGUUGGUUGUCUUCGGGGAUGUCUACCGUAAAGGUGCAUGAGUGGUAUUUGGUUUGUUACGGGUGGUUGGCUCUUGCUUGCGCAACAACUUCCANCUGGCUUACCUCUUCAGUUGCUUGCCAAUGCUUUUAAAGUAUUGGUUGGAUUGUGGGUUUCAUGUGUUGCCUACCGAAUUGAUGGUAUUGUAUUCUGAAAGAAUUCUGUUUUUUCAUCUUGCGUCGCAAAUGCGUUGUGUGAUGAACCUUGAAGCAUUCUUUAUGAUCCACUAUUUUAAUUCUUAGGUGUUAAUUGUGUGGCUCAUUUUGAGUUGCUUGGUAUCUUGGAUAUGGAACCUAAUGUGGGCAUGGGAUGUUUAUAUAUCCCUUGGUUGCCCUG
rnacentral:misc_RNA from 1 species